rnacentral:lncRNA from 1 species
GUGCUUAAAAACUGCAAUAAUAUGGCAAACUGCUGCAAGGCAAUUAUUUACAUAAAUCUUUUCUUGUUAUUUCCUUCCUUCUUAUCUUGCUAAUAUUUAUUUUGACUGCCUUGCAGAGUGACUUUGACUUCAUCCAGGAGGAGAACAAGGCUGAGUGAACAGUGCCACCCAGGUAGAUGCUCAUCACAACAGUAAAGUGAAAGGAGGAAGUGAUGCAACAGUGCCAUUGUUCCAAAGUAGAAGGAAAAGCUGAACAGAAGGCUCUCUCUCCAGAUUCCACAUGUUUACUGGACGGUUCUCGAUGUUGACCAUUCUGAGUUACUAUUCCCUGGUACAUAAUAUAUCCUCUCAUGUUUGUUUACCAAGAAGAACGACAAUAGCCAAAGGGUCCUUCUUUUAACCCUAAACCACAGCAAACAUUGUCUCCAGAAGGGCCUCGGUUAUCUAAGGAGCCUUGGGCUACCAUGAAAUGUGCAGAGGAAACAAUUCACCCCUGUUCACCCAUGUUCGCUAUCACCACCUCGUGCGUGGCUUAGGAUGGCGGGGUGGAGUCUUUCCUAAUCAUGCAACACUCUGUGCCCCUGACAGAAGAAUCUCAGGGGAGUGUCCACCAAGGUCUACCAUGACAAGUCUUCCAGGAAGGGCAAUGUGGUUCAGACCAAAGAGCACCAGAGUGGAAGGACAGAGGACAAUGUGCCUGUCAUAGCUCUUCUGCUGGUCAUAUGAUCAUGCAUGGAUCUCCUUUCACAUAGAAUGGUGGUAACAUGUAUUCCCUGGUGAGAGCAAAGGGCAAUCAAUGUGUGGCAUAAGUUAGGCCAGUGAUAUGUAAGUGGUGUUGCAGUCUGUAGUAUGCUGGGCAAGUGUAAGUUAUCACUCAGAUUUGAUUCCGAGGAGGCCCUGCCCGACCUGCCAAGUCCCUCCAAGCUGCCUGGAUCAGGGCCUGGUAUCUCGUCCAGAUCGGAACAGUCGGAGUCCAGUAGGAAUAGUAGGGACAGAGUAACCCUCAGAGCUUGUGUUUUCCAUUCCGACAGCUCAUUUAUCCCACCGUAUCUGUUUCUCCCUGUGCCUCGAAGCCAGCACCCCAGGGACGUGACCCAGUUGCCUUGCCGCCCACAGAGCUUCCUUCCCAGAGCCUUCCUCCCCACCCCGAAGGACACAGGAGGCAACUUGCUCCCCCCGUGCUCAUGCCCCCACGGCUCAUUGUCCACAGGCCACACCGCAGUGUGCUCUUCACCACAGGACUUUGUCCCUGUUGCCUCUUAAUCCCACGUCCAGGUCUUGGAGCCAUCAGUAUAAUUUCCCUGUCAUUAGCAAUGUGCUCACGAUGUACUUUCCUCACUAUGACUCAGAAUGACUUCAGGUCCUUCGAACAAUUGAAGUCCUUUGUAGACUAAGAGUUGGUGUUGAUAAUGUCCAAAUGGAUUGGGUCAAUUUUCCGUCCUCAGACAGGCCCUAACCAGGAAACAGAAUUGCAGGGAAAUGGAAACCAGAUUCAAAAAGAUACAUGAAGAUGAAAUCCGGGUAUGGAGAACACAGCUUUCCAGGAAGGGCUGAAACAACUAGAAUUAUUUUGGCUUGAGGGUGAAGUACACAAAAUGCAGGCUGGCUCUUUCCUGUCGCCACCAAAGAGGGAAACAACAGAAAGGUCUUCAGAUAGGGCAAGAAGGAUUUAGGUGACAUUUAAAGAAGAAUUUCUUAGUAAUGUGCAUUGUUAAAUAUUGGAAGAAUUUACAAAGGAAAUCUGUAAAAUUCCUUUCUGUACCAAUCUUUCCAUAGAAGGG